CCUACUGCACCUCACUUUCACUAUUUUUGUCUCUCUGUCUAUCUGGACCUCUCGCUUGUUUCUCUACGCCCACUCUGAGGAGCUGGCUCAACUGCUAUCACUUAUGUGGGCAUCCCAAAGUGUGAAGGGAGUUUUUUUCAGAAGGAUGAAAAAAAAAACAAAUGUUUCCCAAAUCAGGAGAAUAAUAUCCCCAACGUGCAGUGCAUCAGUGUGGGGACCCUCCAGUAGAGUUCCAGAGAAUCACUGCCAAGGCUCACUGAAGCUGCUCUGGCAGCAUGCACUGAUCUACAACCAUGUGAUGGCUUUUUAUGUAAAUUUGUCACCCAGCUGAAGGUACCCAGAAUUACUCCAUAGAUACACAAAAUGACUCAAAUGUAAUCCAAAGUUUACGCAGAUGUAAUUUGUCAAGCACCACUGUUUGUCUUGUUGUACCUUCAUCAGAUAAAAUAAAAUUGCACAGCGCUGUCAUGCAUGUUAAUGUCUCUAUGGAUUCAGUAACAUUUAAGAGAAGUUAACAAAAUAAAAGCAUAUCUUUCUGCA